GCUUCGAUGGUUUCUGCAUCUGAAGACGCAGCUUCGAUGGUUACUGCAUCUGAAGAGGCAGCUUCGAUGGUUUCUGCAUCUGAAGACGCAGCUUCGAUGGUUACUGCAUCUGAAGACGCAGCUUCAAUGGUUUCUGCAUCUGAAGUAGGCAGCUUCGAUGGUUUCUGCAUCUGAAGACGCAGCUACGAUGGUUUCUGAAUGUGAUGAAGAUCUGACAAAUAUUAGACCUUCCCCCCCACUCCCCCAUCAGCUCAAGGUUGUCUUUAUUGUCUUCUGUGGAAUAUCUUGUUUUUCAUGACAUACAAUAUUGCUUCGAAUGUUUGUUUUUAAAUACUGUUACUCGUUACUUCUAACAAAAAUGGCUAUUGUUGAAAGUGAUUUCUUUCUAAUGACACCAUUACUCUUUGCAUUGUCCAUUAGUGGGAAGAUUUUCCUACUGUUUUUAUCAUGUUACACAUUACAGUACGGUUUUGUUAAUCGGAGUGUGUUCGGUCUUCUGGCUGGCAAAAUGUUUGGAAGUGUUCAAGUGUUCACUUUGAAUUUUAGAAUUGUGUGAACUUUAGUGGAUAUUUAGCUAUUAUAGUACUUGCUGAAAGAUUAGACUGAUAUUAAUUACACACCUAGUGAAACUGCAGUGUUGGUAGAUUGGUACUUCAAAUUUUGACAAUCACAUUGACCAAAAUUCUGGUAUCAUGUUUCCAGCUGAGACAAUUUUUAGACUCAGGUAGAUUUGUGAACAAAUUUUGUAGGGGUAAUCAUAUCCUUUGCGCUUUGACAGCAUGAAAUGAUUGACAAUAUACAGAAUUAUCUAACUCGAAAGAAGUUAAAGACCAUCCAAAUACCUUCAUAUCACUGUAGCUACUGUUUCCUGGCGUAACUGUCAAUGUGACUAUGAAAGAAUUGGCUGUAGUGUAACUCAAGUUCUGUCAUUUGGUAUGCACUUAUAAAAGAACAAUAACAACUGAAGUUACCAUGUGUUUCCAGUUUCCUUGAGAGCAUUUUUCACAUGCUUCUUAAAAUGAUUAUCAUAGCUUACUUUGCUGAUUAGUUUGUAAUAUUUGGUAUGUGUGGCUAGUGGUGGGAUUAACAUGAAUGCUCCAUUUUUGUUACACAGUUUAUUUUAUAAUUUGACCCUGAUCUGGCGUCACACCAUCAGGUAAAGGAGUACAUUUGGACAGGAAUUGAGACGAGACCUCCACCCCACUCCCCCAUGCCACUCAGUGGGGAUCACUUGUUGUAGGGCACUCUGUAGGGCAGAU